rnacentral:rRNA from 1 species
AUUGAACGCUGGCGGCAUGCCUUACACAUGCAAGUCGAACGGUAACGCGGGGCAACCUGGCGACGAGUGGCGAACGGGUGAGUAACGCAUCGGAACGUGCCCAGUAGUGGGGGAUAGCCCGGCGAAAGCCGGAUUAAUACCGCAUACGACCCACGGGUGAAAGCGGGGGAUCGCAAGACCUCGCGCUAUUGGAUCGGCCGAUGUCAGAUUAGGUAGUUGGUGGGGUAAAGGCCUACCAAGCCUUCGAUCUGUAGCUGGUCUGAGAGGACGACCAGCCACACUGGGACUGAGACACGGCCCAGACUCCUACGGGAGGCAGCAGUGGGGAAUUUUGGACAAUGGGCGCAAGCCUGAUCCAGCCAUGCCGCGUGCGGGAAGAAGGCCUUCGGGUUGUAAACCGCUUUUGUCAGGGAAGAAACGCUCCGGGCUAAUACCCUGGGGUAAUGACGGUACCUGAAGAAUAAGCACCGGCUAACUACGUGCCAGCCGCCGCUGUAAUAC